rnacentral:rRNA from 1 species
GACGAACGCUGGCGGCGUGCUUAACACAUGCAAGUCGAACGGAAAGGCCCUGCUUUUGUGGGGUGCUCGAGUGGCGAACGGGUGAGUAACACGUGAGUAACCUGCCCUUGACUUUGGGAUAACUUCAGGAAACUGGGGCAAUUACGGGUAAGAAGCUCUGGCGCCAGGUGGGGGGUGGGAAGGUUUCGGCGGUUGGGGAUGGAUUCGCGGCUUAUCAGCUUGUUGGUGGGGUAGUGGCUUACCAAGGCUUUGCCGGGUAGCCGGCCUGAGAGGGUGACCGGCCACAUUGGGACUGAGAUACGGCCCAGACUCCUACGGGAGGCAGCAGUGGGGAAUAUUGCACAAUGGGCGGAAGCCUGAUGCAGCAACGCCGCGUGCGGGAUGACGGCCUUCGGGUUGUAAACCGCUUUCGCCUGUGACGAAGCGUGAGUGACGGUAAUGGGUAAAGAAGCACCGGCUAACUACGUG